CAAGUUCCAUGCUCAGUGCAGAGCCCAAUUGGGGCUCAAUCCGAUGAUCCUGGCAUCAUAGCCUGAGCUAAAAUCAAGAGUCAAAAUCUCAAGUGAUUGAGCCAUCCAGGUGCCCCUAUCUGUCACCCAGUGCCUUUGAUUUGAGCAUUUAUUCUGUUUCCUUUCAAAGUAAUUGACAGACAUGUACUUGUCCUUUUAUUACUUGGUGAUGGUUGUUUCUGAAUCUUUUUGAUCCUUUCUUCUCUUUCUCUUUUUUAUGGUUUGCUGGGUUUCUUUAGUACCACAGUUGAAAUUGCUUGUCUUUAUAGUCUACAUAUGUAUUGGUGGUGUUUGAUUUGUGGUUAUUAUUAGGAUUGUACCUAACCACUUGUGCAUAUAGAAGUCUAUAUUAAGUUGAUAGUUGUUUAAGUUUGAACCGGUUCUUUACUCCUCUCCUCCCCGUGUUGUAGAUAUGUAGUGUCAUAUUUCAAAACCUUUCAUAUCGCGAAUACUUUGGCUGAUGUUUUACAGAUAUACUCAUUUUUAUUGCUUUUGCGUUUCACACUUUAAUAUUGUCACUUUAGGUGUUUCUUUUCCACUUAAAGGGUCCCCUUUAACAUUUCUUGCAGGGGUGGUUUGUUGGUUGUGAACUCGCUGAGUAUUUAUUCUGGAACCUCUUGAUCUCUCCUUCCAUCUGAAUGAUAGUGUUGUGGAUAGACUCUCUUUGGCUGCAGAUGUUAUCCAUUCAGCACCUUUACCAUACCGUGCUGCUCACUUACAGUUUCAAAGUUUCUUCUGAAAAACAUCCAGUGAUAACCUUAUGGGGUUUCUCUUGUAGGUAGUUGUCAUCUUUUGUUUUCCUGCUGUUAAAUUUUUUCUUUAUCACGACAUUUUGCAUUUUAAUUACUAUGACUUGAUGUGGAUCUGCUUCUGUUGAAUAUUUUGGGGGUUCUUUGUGCCUCCUGCUUCUGGGUCUGUUUCAUUCCCCGCAUUAAGGAAGUUUUCAUCUAUUGUGUCUUCAAAUAAAUUUUCUGGUUCCAUUUCUCAGAGUUCUGAGAAUGAGAAAUAGGACAGGAGAGACCUAUGAAGUUUCUUUGAUGAGUCACUGGAUUUGCAUGUGUGGAGGAUAGAUUUGGGACUCAAAUGAACAAUCUACCUUUAACUUAAAAGAACUAGAAAAAAACAACAAUCUACCAAUGUCCAAUGUUCUCAAAAGGGAGAAAUUAAUCCAUAUGAGAGUGGAAACGAAUGAAUUUGAGACCAUGAAAUCAAUAGAAAAUAUGAUGAAGACCAAAAGUGGGUUUUCUGAAGAGUGAAACAAAAUUUUCAAGAUUAUACAUCGACUAUGCUAAGACAGAGAGAGGACCCAACUCAAAAUAAUUAUAAAUAAAAGUGUAGACAUUACACCUGAUACCAAAGAAACAUAAAGGAGACAAAGAGGCCACCAUGGCUAAAUUAGAUGCCAGCAAACCGCCUACCCAGAAGAAAUGGAUAGGUUCUUAGAAACACACAAUAUACCAAGACUGUAUCAGGAAGAAAUAGAAGGUUUGCACAGACCCAUUAAAGGAAGACUGCAUCAAUACAAGAAGAUAACCAAAUCUAUGCAAGUCAGAAUCAACCUCCAUCCACCUCCAUCCUUUAUGAGACCUAAGACGUGAUGCAGCUCCCAUGGGAAAUAUCAGUUUUGUCUCUACCAAGGAUGCAGAGAAAGACAAGAUUCAGGCUUGUUUCCAGGAAGAAACCCUAACAAAUUCAGAAGAACGGGAGCUGCAUUCCAUUAGGACGUGAAUACAUGAAAUGUUUGUCUCAGGACCUUCUAGAAGAAUGAGCUGGGACCCACUUUCCGAGUCCUGCUGGAACCAGAGACCGAGCUGUACCUGUGACACAGGACACGAGAGAACGUGCUCAUGUGAACACAAGUGAAGGACACCGUGGGGACUUGCCACACAGGGUUGCAAAGACGAGGGCCAUGAAAUGGCACUACCACGUUGAUGGGUAUGAUUCAUUGUACAACACACUGCUUUCCUACAGAUGAUGACAAUUGACACCACCCCCGAGGAAUGUUAGCAUGGACAAAGUUUCCACACAGUCUGGCCACUACUUGAAUCUGCAAAUGUUUAGAAACUUAAUUGUUUUAUUCUUUCUAAACUUACCUUUUUUAUCUGUUCAUACUCUAUGCAUAUGUUGACUUUAAACAUUGCAAAAAGAUUAAAAACCAAAAAAUGAACAGCAGUUCCAUGAGCUGCUGGUAAUUACUAGCUGAACUCACUUGUACUUGGUUAUUUCUUCUGUAGCUAUUUUUUUCCUAAUGUUUAUUUAUUUUUGAGACAGAGAGUGAGUGAGCACAUGCAUGAGCGGGGGAGGGACAGAGAGAGAUGUAACAGAAUCCAAAACAGGCUCCAGGCUCUGACCUGUCAGCACAGAGCCUGACAUGGGGCUCGAACUCACGGAUUGUGAAAUUAUGACCUGAGCUGAAGUUGGAUGCUUAAAUGACUGAGCCACC